AACGAACGCUGGCGGCAGGCUUAACACAUGCAAGUCGAACGCAUCGCAAGAUGAGUGGCAGACGGGUGAGUAACGCGUGGGAACAUACUCUUUUCUACAGAAUAGCUCUGGGAAACUGGAAUUAAUACCGUAUACGCCCUACGGGGGAAAGAUUUAUCGGGGAAGGAUUGGCCCGCGUGGGAUUAGCUAGUUGGUGGGGUAAAGGCCUACCAAGGCGACGAUCCAUGGCUGGUCUGAGAGGAUGAUCAGCCACAUUGGGACCGAGACACGGCCGAAUCUCAUACGGUACGCGGCAGUGGGGAAUGUUGGACAAUGGGCGCAAGCCUGAUGCAGCCAUGCCGGGUGAGUGAUCAAGCCCUUAGAGUUGUAAAGCUCUUUCACCGAUGAAGAUAAUGACGGUAGUCAGAGAAGAAACCCCGGCUAACUUCGUGCCAGCAGCCGCCGUAAAAC
rnacentral:rRNA from 1 species